GGCAGCCGCGUGACCGUGGUCGGUCGGUCACCGGUAUCCGCGUCCGCGUGGGAGCCUCCCUCCCGGGGAGUUUCCGGGAAGCCGCCGUCGCGCCCUCCCUCAGGGGAGUUUCCGGGAAGCCGCUGCCGCUGCCCCGCAAACCGCGACCACAAAGCUGCUUGCUUGACCCACCGAGACCAACUGACGGACGCUACCUCACCUCCUCACUCUCGCGGGCGACGUGUGGCGGCGGCUGGCGAACGAGAGCGGCGGCGGCGGCAGAGAAGUUUCAGGGCAACAGGGAGCAGAAACCAGGAGCCAUCCAUUCGAGUCUCGAUCGUGUGUGGAGACUGCCAUGGCGCUGUGGACUGGCCUGGGUCAGGCGGCCACGGUGGCACAGCUGGUCGGCGCGGACGUCGGCGGCCUCAUCUCCAUGAUCGUGCAGGCCGCGAUGACGGCUCGUCAGAACAGGAGUGAGUGUGAGCAACUUGCUCGUCGUGUCCUCAUGAUCGCGCAGCUGCUGCCGCACGUGCAGGAGCCAGAGGCGGCGCAGCCGCUGGCCGGGCUGGGCGACAUGCUCCGGGACGCCCACGAGCUCGUCGUGUCGUGCCAAGGGAGGAGCGCGGCGUAUCAGUUCAUCAUGGCUGGCAGGACGGCUGAAAGGUUCAGGGAGGUGCAGAGCAAGAUAGACUCGUACCUCAUCCUCUUCCCUGUGAUCAGCCACAUCGGCAUAACACGCCGCCUCGAACGAAUCUACAACAUACUUGUUCAGGAUGGCUCCACCAGAGAUGAACCGUCGCAUCCACUUCCACAGUCGUCCCAGCUGCAGGAAUCUUUUGUGAUGGCUCAGGAUGCACUACCACAUGGAACCCAGGAAUUUACGUUGGCAGAGAUCGUGGCCGCCACUAAUAACUUUGCCUUUGACACCAAGAUCGGUCAUUGCAGCUCUGGAAGUGUGUACAGGGGCAGGCUUCAUGAUGGACGAGAGGUGGCUGUCAAGUGCAAAAGGAGCUCCUUAUUAGACAAGUGGUAUUCUCAAUCCUUAGAGGACGAGUACCAAAAGGAGCUCGAUAUUCUCUCACGUCUUCGACACAGACAUAUCAUCCGCCUCCUUGGAUCGUAUGUGACCGUGAGCAAGGAGAAGCGCCAGCUAACCACCCCGCAAAAGAAAAAGAAGGGCAUACUAACCAUAAGCAGGCAAAGAAAAGAGCCUACAGAGCCGGAGGGGUUGUUUUUCACAAGAGAAGAGCCAGAGGGGCAUGUACUCGUGUACGAGUACAUGGAGAACGGCACACUCUUCAACCACCUCCACUCUGGUCAGGCUGGUUCCUCCAUGCUGUCGCCAGUGACGGUGUCCUGGAAGAUGCGCAUCAAUGUCCUCCUUGGCGUGUCACACGCCAUCGAGCACUUACACUGUCAUGCCAACCCGCCGAUCAUCCACCGGGACAUCAAGUCAGCUAACAUCCUUUUUGACGCCAGUUGGGUGCCUCGUUUGUCAGACUUUGGCUCCUCGGUUGUAUGGGACAUGGCAACUCAGGAGGAGGGGAUGGAGGUCCCAGUUAUAGGCACAUUUGGGUACCUCGCCCCUGAGUACGCCAUAUAUGGUCUUCUGAAGCCGGCGAGCGACGUGUACAGCCUGGGCGUGGUGAUGCUCGAGGUUCUGACAGGGAAAAGUGCAUAUUCUCAAUUGAAGGAUGAUGGGACAGGUGGACCUUUGACAGACUUCGCACUCCCCAUCAUUGAAGUCGGUAAUAUUGAGGAGUUGUUGGACAGGCGACCUGUACCGGAGCCAACGCCUUGGCAGCUGCAGGUGAUGAAACGGGUGGCGCAGAUUGCAUGGUGCUGCGGGAAGUUGGAUGCGAAGGACCGGCCGGCCAUAUCAGACAUUGUUGCCAACCUCGAGAUGGCGUAUGAGUUAAUCUGCAGAGACGAGCACGGUUCAGUUGACGAGCCAUGUUUGUGGCCCUUCGUCGAACAAGUUGACCUGCCAUCGGACUCGCCACACUCCAGGAGCUCGUCAUCGGCAGGCUACCAUUCCGAGCUGGAAUCUGAGGUGUUGGAGGAGGGGCGUUGACAACAAUCGUUGAAGGCGUCCUCAGAAGGUGGUUCUCUUAAUACACUGAUGUAGGUGCAUCAUAACGCUUGUUGUUGCUGGCAGUUUAGGAAGAGCUUGGGAUGGACCCGCCCCAGUGUAUUUUCAGUUUGCUUCCUCACCACCCACCCUACUAUGUUUUCCCCAGCAGUUUAUUAGGAAAGGAACACACCCGCUUGAUGGUCACCACCUCACUUUGUUUUUUUAGCCUUGAGUUGCACAAGGUCACAGUAGUCCCACUUUGUUUGUGUAGCUUCUCUUUCAAAGCCAUUCAUAGUGUAUCCCUGCAAAAAAAAAAAAAACAUUCAUAGUGUAGACCCCAUCCUAUAUAUCCUCGUUUCAUUUUUGAAUGUCGAUAUUUUUUAUUAAAGCUGGACAUGAAGGACCAGCCGGCCGUAUCAGACAUGGUUGCCAACCUCGAGAUGGCAUACGAAUUGAUAAUCAGCAGGGAGGAGCCUGGUUCAGUUGACGAGUUACUCACCACAUGUCAUCAACAGGCUCCCAGUCCGAUCCGGUACGCCACAAACUGAUUGAAUUCUAUUCACGUUAAUGCAUUCAAUCAUGUUCAUACACUGCCUGAGGUGUUGGAGGAGGGGCGUUGGGACCGAUCUUUGACGGCGUCAUUUGAAACGGUGCACUACACUGGAGCAGGCUCCACAACAGGUCACAGGUGACCGUCAUCUGCGUCAAUCACCCGAUGAGCAUCCCAUUACUGCGUAUAGGAAUCGAAGGCGUCCCAAAGGACGGUGCACAAUACUUGACAAGCUUCACAACGAGUGACGGUUUGCUUCUUCACCGCCCACCCUACUUUGUUGUUCCCACCGGUUUCUUAUGAAAGGAAUGCAUGGGGUUGAUGGUCAGCACCCUACUUUGUUUCUUAUCCCUGUUCUUUUCAAUUAUUUUUUCUAUUUAUCCUGGGGUUGCCAUGGGCACAACAUGACUGCUCUGUUUCGUAACCAUUUAUAGGGUAAGAGGCCCUGUCCUAGAUUUUUUUUAUUUUGUUUUAUUUUUGGAAAGCCAGGACUGGAGUAGUAUAAAAUUGGUACAUUCAGUGUGGAACUAACCUGGAAAAGAUGGCUGAUGCGGUUGAUGAAGUAGCAAUGCGGCUGAUGCCAUCUAACUCAAGGUUUUUUCUUUUGACUUGAAUUCAAGAUUUUUUUUAUAGUACAAUCAUGUAAAACAGAUACCAAAGAGAUUAGGAAAACGAGUGUGCACAAAAAUGGUGUAUCAUUGUUCCACGAAUAUUUCCACUAUCUUACAACACAGCCAUCUUUCAGAUGGGCCUUUCUACCAA